AGACUAUUGGGAAGAAGUUACCAUCAACUACAGCAACUAUAGACCCAUCAAAAACAGAAAUGACAGCAAGGACAAAGACUAAGGAUUACUGCAAGGUAAUAUUUCCAUAUGAGGCACAGAAUGAUGAUGAAUUGACCAUCAAAGAAGGAGAUAUAGUGACCCUCAUCAAUAAGGACUGCAUUGAUGUAGGCUGGUGGGAAGGAGAGCUCAAUGGCAGACGAGGAGUGUUCCCUGAUAACUUCGUGAAGUUACUUCCACCGGACUUUGACAAAGAAGGGAAU